GAAAUAAGGGAAUCAGAUAGCACACUUCAUACACCGAAUGGAAGCGAGGAAGAGGGGUGCCGCCCGGUAUCGUGCCAUCCCCCCGCUGCCCCGCAGCCGUAAAGGGAACGAACGUCCAACCUGCAUUAGUUUCGCCGGUUUCAGUGCAAGGAUGCUAGCAACGACAGCGCCUUGAAAUGAAAGCGGCCCACAGGUAAAGCCACUGGGAGUAAUCCUGGGAAGGCGGGCAAGUAGGCAGCCCUGAGCCGGAAUACCGCUCCAUUUGCAAGCCUCGG
rnacentral:ncRNA from 2 species